AAUAGAUACCCGGGUAGUCCAUGCCGUAAACGUUGGGCACUAGGUGUGGGGCUCAUUCCACGAGUUCCGUGCCGCAGCAAACGCAUUAAGUGCCCCGCCUGGGGAGUACGGCCGCAAGGCUAAAACUCAAAGGAAUUGACGGGGGCCCGCACAAGCGGCGGAGCAUGCGGAUUAAUUCGAUGCAACGCGAAGAACCUUACCAAGGCUUGACAUGCACGGGAAGCCACCAGAGAUGGUGGUCUCUUUGGACACUCGUGCACAGGUGGUGCAUGGUUGUCGUCAGCUCGUGUCGUGAGAUGUUGGGUUAAGUCCCGCAACGAGCGCAACCCUGUCCCAUGUUGCCAGCGGGUUAUGCCGGGGACUCAUGGGAGACUGCCGGGGUCAACUCGGAGGAAGGUGGGGAUGACGUCAAAUCAUCAUGCCCCUUAUGUCUUGGGCUUCACGCAUGCUACAAUGGCCGGUACAAGGGCUGCGAUACCGUAAGUGAGCGAAUCCCAAAAGCCGGUCUCAGUUCGGAUUGGGU
rnacentral:rRNA from 1 species